rnacentral:rRNA from 1 species
CCUACGGGUGGCAGCAGUGGGGAAUAUUGGGCAAUGGAGGAAACUCUGACCCAGCAACGCCGCGUGAAUGAUGAAGGUCUUCGGAUUAAAGUUCUUUUCUAAGGGAAGAAGAAAGUGACGGUACCUUAGGAAUAAGCCUCGACUAACUACGUGCCAGCAGCCGCGGUAAUACGUAGGAGGCGAGCGUUAUCCGGAAUGACUGGGCGUAAGGGGUGCGUAGGUGGUUUGGCAAGUUAGUAGCGUAACUCCAAGGCUCAACCUUGGAACUACUUCUAAAACUGUUGGACUAGAGUGCAGGAGGGGCAAGCGGAAUUCCUAGUGUAGCGGUGGAAUGAGUAGAUAUGAGGAGGAACACCAGUGGCGAAGGCGGGUUUCUGGACUGUAACUGACGCUGAGGCACGAAAGCGUGGGGAGCAAACAGGAUUAGAUACCCCAGUAGUC